rnacentral:lncRNA from 1 species
GCACAUGGCCCCGCGCCGCCAUGAUGAGAGCGCAGAACCGCAGUGCGCAGCCGCCGGCCGGGGCCGGGGCCGGGGCCGGCCCGGGGGCGGGGGUAAAGGGGCCGGGCCGGGCGCUACCCGCCCCUCCCCGCCGCGACAUGGCGGCGCGGCCCGCCGAGCCGCCGCUCCUCCUCUUCCCGCUCCGAGUAGGGGGGCCGCGCCCGCCGUAUCGCCGCAGGUGGACGUCGGGCUCCUCCGCAGCYGCGCGCUCACGUUGCGGGGCCUGGCUGGACGAGUGACGCCUCGCCGGGGACAGGCAGGGCCCCUGCUGCUGCCUGGGACGCUGGAGGACGAGCUUUGUACCACACCCUUCCAACAUGUUCUGCAGCCACCAAGCGCGGUGCCUCGAAGUCCUGACUCUUCCAAUGGUUCCUGCAAAAUUCCCUGCARAGCCCAUGUUACAAAUAUGAUAUCGUGGUUUAGCUUGUGAGAAAAUGGAAAACCUGCCUUCUUUUUCUUUUUUUUUUUGUUUGGAAUUUUAAGAACAAUCUAGCAGAUUCUGAGACCAUAAUAAAGAUAUUGGGCUUUUUCCUUUGUAAAUACA